UACGGAGGGUGCAAGCGUUAUCCGGAUUCACUGGGUUUAAAGGGUGCGUAGGAGGGCAGGUAAGUCAGUCGUGAAAUCCCCGAGCUUAACUUGGGAACUGCCGUUGAUACUAUCUGUCUUGAAUAUUGUGGAGGUAAGCGGAAUAUGUCAUGUAGCGGUGAAAUGCUUAGAUAUGACAUAGAACACCAAUUGCGAAGGCAGCUUGCUACACAAUCAUUGACUCUGAUGCACGAAAGCGUGGGGAU
rnacentral:rRNA from 1 species